rnacentral:rRNA from 1 species
UACAGAGGGGGCAAGCGUUGUUCGGAAUUACUGGGCGUAAAGGGCGCGUAGGCGGCCUUCUAAGUCGAACGUGAAAUCCCCGGGCUCAACCUGGGAAUGGCAUUGGAUACUGGCUCGCUGGAGUGCGGUAGAGGGUGGUGGAAUUCCCGGUGUAGCAGUGAAAUGCGUAGAGAUCGGGAGGAACAUCUGUGGCGAAGGCGGCCACCUGGACCAGCACUGACACUGAGGCACGAAAGCGUGGGGAGCAAACAGG